rnacentral:rRNA from 1 species
AUUGAACGCUGGCGGCAUGCCUUACACAUGCAAGUCGAACGCGAAAGCGGGGCAACCCGCAAGUAGAGUGGCGAACGGGUGAGUAAUACAUCGGAACGUGUCCAGUAGCGGGGGAUAACCUCUCGAAAGAGAGGCUAAUACCGCAUACGUCCUACGGGAGAAAGAGGGGGAUCGCAAGACCUCUCACUAUUGGAGCGGCCGAUGUCGGAUUAGCUAGUUGGUGGGGUAACGGCCUACCAAGGCGACGAUCCGUAGCUGGUCUGAGAGGACGGCCAGCCACACUGGAACUGAGACACGGUCCAGACUCCUACGGGAGGCAGCAGUGGGGAAUUUUGGACAAUGGGCGCAAGCCUGAUCCAGCCAUGCCGCGUGAGUGAAGAAGGCCUCGGUUGUAA